rnacentral:rRNA from 1 species
CGGCAACAGCUCAAAUUUGAAAUCUGGCGUCUUAGGCGUCCGAGUUGUAAUUUGUAGAGGGAGUCUCGGGUUUAGGACCGGCCCAAGUGCCUUGGAACAGGAUACCAAAGAGGGUGAGAGUCCCGUAUCCGGCUGGUACCAACGCCCGUGUGAGACCCCUUCGAC